rnacentral:rRNA from 1 species
AUAUUGCACAAUGGGGGAAACCCUGAUGCAGCGACGCCGCGUGAAGGAAGAAGUAUCUCGGUAUGUAAACUUCUAUCAGCAGGGAAGAUAGUGACGGUACCUGACUAAGAAGCCCCGGCUAACUACGUGCCAGCAGCCGCGGUAAUACGUAGGGGGCAAGCGCUAUCCGGAUUUACUGGGUGUAAAGGGAGCGUAGACGGUGUGGCAAGUCUGAUGUGAAAGGCAUGGGCUCAACCUGUGGACUGCAUUGGAAACUGUCAUACUUGAGUGCCGGAGGGGUAAGCGGAAUUCCUAGUGUAGCGGUGAAAUGCGUAGAUAUUAGGAGGAACACCAGUGGCGAAGGCGGCUUACUGGACGGUAACUGACGUUGAGGCUCGAAAGCGUGGGGAGCAAACAGG